GACGAACGCUGGCGGCGUGCUUAACACAUGCAAGUCGAACGGAAAGGCCCUGCUUUUGUGGGGUGCUCGAGUGGCGAACGGGUGAGUAACACGUGAGUAACCUGCCCUUGACUUUGGGAUAACUUCAGGAAACUGGGGCUAAUAUCGGAUAGGAGCUCCUGCUGCAUGGUGGGGGUUGGAACGUUUCGGCGGUUGGGGAUGGACUCGCGGCUUAUCAGCUUGUUGGUGGGGUAGUGGCUUACCAAGGCUUUGACGGGUAGUCGGCCUGAGAGGGUGACCGGCCACAUUGGGACUGAGGUACGGCCCAGACUCCUACGGGAGACAGCAGUGGGGAAUAUUGCACAAUGAGCGGAAGCCUGAUGCGGCAACGCCGCGUGCGGGAUGACGGCCUUCGGGUUAUAAACCGCUUUCGCCUGUGACGAAGCGUGAGUGACGGUAAUGGGUAAAGAAGCACCGGCUAACUACGUG
rnacentral:rRNA from 1 species